AACAGAAUCGCGUUUGGCUGUGCUGGGAACCUUAAGUAAAUCAGAAUGGGAAGCUACAAGUAUUUACUUGGUGUUUGCCUUUGAGAAACAGCAGUGAGCACAUAGGCAGUAGUCCCAGAGGGGCCGUGUUCUGUCCUGCACAAAUUUGAACAACUCAUCUCGAUAUAUUUGAUAUUUCUCUGUCUGUUGAUUUUAAUUCUAAAUGUGCAGGAUGCUGCCAGAAACUCCAAUGUAGAAAUUCAACAUUUGCUGUCUGUGACAGAUGAACUUUUGCAUGUGUAUAUAAGAAUGAGUUGGGACCUCUGUCUUUAAAAAUCUAUUUUUAG
rnacentral:lncRNA from 1 species